rnacentral:lncRNA from 1 species
AGAGAGCUGAAAUAAACUUUUGGAUGUUUUAUUUUAACUGAUUUUGAUAUGGAAUGAGUGAUUAGGCCAGGUGCAAAAAGGUGAUAUUUACAGUUUUCGGAACAUCUCUUGACUUGUCCAUAGGGGUAUGGAUGUGUGUUGGCUAAAUUUGUAAAAUACAGCAGAGCAAUCUUUCUGAAUGUUGGAUAUAUUUUUGGACUAGAACUGUACUUUACACACACACAAAAUUUGACAAAAAGAUUAGGUGCAUUUUUUUUAAUGAAACAAAACGUUAUAAA